GAAAUGAGAUAAGUAAUGUGAAUUGCAGAAUUCAGUGAAUCAUCGAAUCUUUGAACGCACAUUGCGCCCGCCAGUAUUCUGGCGGGCAUGCCUGUCCGAGCGUCAUUUCAACCAUCAAGCCCCCGGGCUUGUGUUGGGGACCUGCGGCUGCCCGCAGGCCCUGAAAACCAGUGGCGGGCUCGCUGUCACACCGAGCGUAGUAGCAAUCACCUCGCUCAGGGCGUGCUGCGGGUUCCGGCCGUUAAACAGCCUUACAAAACCCAAGGUUGACCUCGGAUCAGGUAGGAAGACCCGCUGAACUUAAGC
rnacentral:misc_RNA from 1 species